UACGUAGGGGCAAGCGUUGUCCGGAAUUAUUGGGCGUAAAGCGCGCGCAGGCGGUCCUUUAAGUCUGAUGUGAAAGCCCACGGCUUAACCGUGGAGGGUCAUUGGAAACUGAGGGACUUGAGUACAGAAGAGGAGAGUGGAAUUCCACGUGUAGCGGUGAAAUGCGUAGAGAUGUGGAGGAACACCAGUGGCGAAGGCGACUCUCUGGUCUGUAACUGACGCUGAGGUGCGAAAGCGUGGGUAGCAAACAGGAUUAGAUACCCCUGUA
rnacentral:rRNA from 1 species